GAGAGUCCAGUUCGGGGUCAAGUCCAGAGUCCAGUCCAGUGUCCAUUCAUCUUUUGCAGCUGAACGAACAAUGGUGUCAGAACGCUUAAUUAGCAAAUUGUUUUAGCCCUUAUAAUGGCGGACAUGGCGAUGUAAACAUAUAGAGGCACAUUGGUAUUGAGUUUCAUAAAUCAGACUUAAGGAGGAAUCACGGACUUCCAAAGACAUGAAAGGGCUAAACAAAGGCAAUUGUGAUGCGAUGAAAUGAAAUAAUCGGUAUAAGUGGAUAUUUAAGGUAGCUGUCACUUUAAAAGGGUAGGACCAACCAUGUCAUAUUUUCUAUGAGUCAAGCUUGAUUGACGUCAUCAAGUGCAAUCUGUUGGCAUGAAGAUGAGAAGAACGUCAGUAUUUUAUCGCUAUCAUCAUCCACGCUUAUUCCCCCCCUUCCCUCUCCCAAGAAAAACUUUCCAGAAUCGAGCCAAAAGUCAAAUUCUUGGUUUGACCUUUCUUCGAACCAAAGUGCUACCCAAGAGCAGUCUUAACACUGGUUCGCAUAAAUAUAUAUCAUUACGAGGAGUAAGGAGGAUGGCGAGAAA